rnacentral:rRNA from 1 species
CGUGAGAUGUUCGGUUAAGUCCGGCAACGAGCGCAACCCACACUUCUAGUUGCCAGCAUUCAGUUGGGCACUCUAGAAGAACUGCCGAUGAUAAGUCGGAGGAAGGUGUGGAUGACGUCAAGUCCUCAUGGCCCUUACGGGUUGGGCUACACACGUGCUACAAUGGCGGUGACAAUGGGUUAAUCCCAAAAAGCCGUCUCAGUUCGGAUUGGGGUCUGCAACUCGACCCCA